rnacentral:lncRNA from 1 species
GUUACUAUAAGGUUAUUGUGAUGGAGGCACAUAAAGAGAUGAAAGAAGAACUAGAGAAAGGGUCCAAAAAUGUUGCUAAGGAAGACAAUAAUAAUAGGAGUAAAUUGGAUGAUCAAGUAACCAAAAGGAUCAUUGGUGAGUUCAUUAUACCAAGUGGUAAUAAUGAAAAUGGAAAAGCUCAAGUUCCUCAAGAUGUUUUAGCUUUCUCUCGAUCCGUUAAUAAAGUUGAUUCAUCAUUAGAAUGAUUCAUGAUUUUAGCUUUUUCAAUGCAUCAUAGUGUUAUCCUUGUACAAGUGUUUAAGUAAUUCUAUCAAAUAGUACUCCACUUUUGAUUGGUUGCUUUCAAUUUUCAUGGUAUGUUGCUAUUGUAUCUUCACUUAUUUGAUCUAAUUUAAUUUCUCAUUUUAGUUAUAGAAAA